CAAAUGUUAAAAAACAACAUUACAUUGCUUUCGCGGUGAAGUUACAUGCAUCUUGUUUUAGCAUGUAAAUAUCUUAAAUUAGUCUUAAAAAAUGGCAAGCAAGUAUAUUAUAAACGUUCGUUUGAACCAAAGCAAUAUCAGUUUAGUCCAGCUAGUAAACCUUCAAGUACAAGGAAACCUGGUCCAGCACGACAGCUUUUUGUUGAAGAUGAAGUGUUACUUACUUUAAUGCGUAUUUGACUUGACUCACUAUUACAAGAUUUAGCAUUUCGUUUUAAAAUUUCAGUAAGUCACAUGUGUAGGAUUUUAACUACAUUUAUAACUUUAUUAGCCCGAGAACUUGAACCAAUAAUUUAUUGACCUGCCAGAAGAAACAUUAAGUUUUACACAUCCUCAUUUUAUUGGAGAUUUCGUUUAUGUUGAAGGUAUUGGUGACUUUAUUGAAAAAACUGUUCAAAAAUCUGCUAAUGCUAAAGCUCAAUAUCAAACAUAUAGUUCUUAUAAAUAUUUUUAAUGUACCGUGUGAAGCCUGCAAAAUCCUGGUUGCUACUUGGCGCUUCCCAGACCUUUCCUGAGACCUGUUCGAGAGUGGCAACCAACUACUGUUCAUUUUUUUUUGAAAAAAAGAACAGUGGUCAGUUGCCACUCUCGGGCUCGUCCCAAAAAAGGUCCAGGAGUGUCGAGCUCUCACCUAGAUUUUACAUGCUGUUUUGUUUGCUCUUUAAAUUUUGGUUAUUAUUGUGCUAUUUUAUGGAAUUUGGUUAGUUUUUUGUUAGAUAUUUGCAUUUUAAUACCUUUGCAGCCUGCAAAAUUCUAAUUAUCACUUGGCACUCCCCAGACCCUUUUCAAGACUUGUUUGAGAGAGGCAACAAACGACUAUUCAUUUUUUUAUAAAAAGGAACAGUGGUUGAUUGCUCCCCUUGGGCAGUUCCCAAAAAUGGUCCGGGCUUGUCAAGUUCUAACCUGAAUUUUGCAGGCAGGUGUUUACUCUUAAAUUUAUAGUUAUUGUGCUAUUUUAUGAAAUUUAGGUAAUUUUUUAUUAACAUUGGCAUUUUAAUAUCUUUGCAGCAUGCAAAAUCCUGAUCAUGACUAGGCAACCCCAAUACUUUUUCCGAGACACAUUUGACAGAGACAACCAAAUACUGCUCAUUUUUUCUAAAAAAAGAACAGCAAUUGGUUGCCCUCCUCGAGUAGGUUUCGAAAACGGUCCGGAGGUGCCGAGUUCUGACGAGGAUUUUGUUCUUAAAUCUUUGGUUGUUAUUGUACUAUUUUAUGAAGUUUGAUUAACUUUUUAUUUUAUAUUCGCAUUUUAAUGUCUUUGCUUGCACAAUUAAAUAUCAUUAAUUUUGAAAAA